AACGCGAAGAACCUUACCCAGGCUCGAAAUGUAAUGGACAGUACCAGAAAUGGUAUGUUCCGCAAGGACUGUUAUAUAGGUGCUGCAUGGCUGUCGUCAGCUCGUGCCGUGAGGUGUUUGGUUAAGUCCAGCAACGAGCGCAACCCUUAUCAUUAGUUGCCAACACGCGAGGUGGGGACUCUAAUGAGACUGCCUGGGUUAACCAGGAGGAAGGUGAGGAUGACGUCAAGUCCGCAUGGCCUUUAUGUCUGGGGCUACACACGUGCUACAAUGGUCGGUACAGAAGGCAGCAAGACCGCAAGGUGGAGCAAAUCCGUAAAGCCGAUCACAGUUCAGAUUGUAGUCUGCAACUCGACUACAUGAAGUUGGAAUUGCUAGUAAUGACGAGUCAGCAACAUCGUCGUGAAUACGUUCCCGGGCCUUGUA
rnacentral:rRNA from 1 species